rnacentral:rRNA from 1 species
AUGAGAUUACUCAUGGAAAGAAGCCACCCCAAUAGAAGCAUCCCGUUGCUUCCUCAACGGCCGAAGCAGGAGCAGGAGCUACGUAGGGCGCCGCCCAGCCCGGGCUGGACGAAGUUAAACACUGAUGGUAGUUAUGUCCCUGCUACAGGUGUUGUAGGAGGGGGCAUGGUCCUCCGCGAUGAUAGAGGAGAGAUCAUCUUCAGUGCGUGUAGGGAGAUGCGCACAUGUGAUAACAGCCUGCAUGCGGAACUUACAGCAUGUAGAGAAGGCUUGGAAUUGGCUUUGCAUCGGACCAACUUACCCAUCGUGGUGGAGCUGGAUAGUGUGGAAGCGGUCACGAGGCUUACAACACAUGUGAUGGACCGCUCACAACACCGUGCUCUAGUUGACGAGAUCCUGAGGAUAGUUACGUCAGAGGAUAGGGAGAUUCUUUUUACUCACUGUAGACGAUCUCAGAAUAAAGUUAGUCAUGAGUUGGCCGCAUAUGGCCGUAAUACCCCCCGCACUAUAGUGUGGUUGCGCUCAGGGUUGGAAUUUGUUGUAAACCUAUCAAAGGAUGAUAAGCCUCCUUGA